GACGAACGCUGGCGGCGUGCUUAACACAUGCAAGUCGAACGAAGUGGCGAACGGGUGAGUAACGCGUAAUCAACCUGCCCUUCAGAGGGGGACACCAGUUGGAAACGACUGCUAAUACCGCAUACCGAAGGUGUGGUUUGCGUCUGAUUGGCUAGUUGGAGGGGUAACGGCCCACCAAUGCGAAGAUCAGUAGCCGGUCCGAGAGGAUGGACGGCCAAAUUGGGACUGGGACACGGGCCAGACUCCUACGGGAGGGAGCAGGGGGGAAUCUUCCGCAAUGGGCGAAAGUCUGACGGAGCAACGCCGCGGGAGUGAUGACAGCCUUCGGGUUGUAAAGCUCUGUUAAUCGGGACGCGGUACCGGAAUAGAAAGCAACGGCUAACUACGUGCCAGCAGCCGCGGUAAUAC
rnacentral:rRNA from 1 species